UACGUAGGGUGCAAGCGUUGUCCGGAAUUAUUGGGCGUAAAGAGCUCGUAGGUGGUUCGUCACGUCGGAUGUGAAACUCUGGGGCUUAACCCCAGACCUGCAUCCGAUACGGUCGAGCUAGAGUUUGGUAGGGGAGACUGGAAUUCCUGGUGUAGCGGUGGAAUGCGCAGAUAUCAGGAGGAACACCAAUGGCGAAGGCAGGUCUCUGGGCCAAUACUGACACUGAGGAGCGAAAGCGUGGGGAGCAAACAGG
rnacentral:rRNA from 1 species